rnacentral:rRNA from 1 species
UGGGGAAUAGUGCACAAUGGGGGAAACCCUGAUGCAGCGACGCCGCGUGAGCGAAGAAGGCUUUCGAGUCGUAAAGCUCUGUCCUAUGAGAAGAUAAUGACGGUAUCAUAGGAGGAAGCCCUGGCUAACUACGUGCCAGCAGCCGCGGUAAUACGUAGGUGGCAAGCGUUGUCCGGAAUUAUUGGGCGUAAAGCGCGCGCAGGUGGUUUAGAAAGUCUGAUGUGAAAGCCCACGGCUCAACCGUGGAGGGUCAUUGGAAACUAAUAAACUUGAGUGCAGGAGAGAAAAGUGGAAUUCCUAGUGUAGCGGUGAAAUGCGUAGAGAUUAGGAGGAACACCGGUGGCGAAAGCGGCUUUUUGGCCUGCAACUGACACUGAGGCGCGAAAGCGUGGGGAGCAAACAGG